GCGCCUGCGCAAAAAGCCCGUCCUGUUUGGUCCCCAUAAAGAAAAGUAAACGACUGAGCAGGUUGCAGUCUUCAACGAGCCAGACGUGAAUCGGAUUCGACAUUCGUCACAAUUGUAGACACACAAAUCUUGUCCCAUUUAGCAAAUCAAAAUCUUGCCAUCACUUGAAACAUCUCACGGGAAAUGGGAGCCAUCAAACCAAGGUAAUCGAUAGUCGACGCCGAAGGAGCUGCGCCACUUGCGCGACUUUUUUGCAGCCUCCUGCAAAUAAGUGAACAGAGGAAGGGUGAAAAGAAAUAUCAAGUAGAGCGGAAGAAGGAUCGUGAGAGGAAUGGCGUCAUCGGGCGGAGGAAGUGGUGGUUGCGACGCCACCAAGAAAUACUUUUGCCCGCGAUUGAUCGACUAUUUGGCCAUCGUUGGAUCACGUCGCCCGGCUGGCUACUCGACUGGCUCCCGCAGUAAAGCUCCUCCUCCUUCUGGCCCUAUUGGGUCAACAAAUCCAUUAAGUGGAACUGUUGUUCACGGGGGAGCUGGGCACGCCGUGACACCGGAGCUUUUACGUCGCUACCCGAUCGAUGAUCAUGCCGAUUUCCCGCUACCGCUCGAUAUGGUUUAUUUCUGCCAACCAGAAGGUUGUCUCUCAUUGGGCAAUCGACGGCCCGGAGACCAUCGGCGUGAUAUUGAUUCGUUCGUCUUCACUCUGACCGAUAAGGAUUCCGGGAAAACGAGAUACGGCGUCUGCAUCAACUUCUUCCGGCCAGUCGAACGGCUUCCGUCGAACGCAUCCGUGUCAUCAAGACGCGAUUCGUGGAGGGAUUCCAUUCACCGAAGUUCCGACUCCGCCUUUUCUAGCGAUCAAAGGAGUACAAUGGCGCCAAGCGAUUCGGAUCGUGACUGCUCCAGUGCACAUCGCUAUCAUCCGGCUGAUCCAGCUUCUGGUGUUAAAUGGCCCUAUCCUUCAUCCGGAAUGACGGGUGUUAAUCAAGACUCGGAGAGCGGAGGAUCUCAACCGCCUUCGCCUAGAGCCAGUCGUAGGAAACAGCGAUCACGAAAUCAAUACUUGACUUCAAUCUGCCUCCUAUCUCACCACCCUUUCUUCACCCUGUUCCGCGAGUGCCUUGUCGUUCUCAAGAAACUUAUCGACGCAUGUCACGAAAACGCAUCCCCCAAGCGACUAGGAGCUUCUCGGCUGACUUCAAGGGAUUCGGUGUGGGGAUUGUUAACGGGCCAAACAACGGAGACGGCCUCGUCUAUAGUUCUCCAUGACGUUCGUGACAUCGAGACGUGGAUCCUUCGUCUACUCAGCGCUCCGGUGCCCAUUCCGGGCAAAACUCGAGUCGAACUCGAGAUUUUGCCACGUUCACUGCAACCUACGCCUUUGGUGUUCGCCCUGCCCGACCACACCCGUUUCCCCAUGGUCGAUUUCCCGUUGCAUCUGCCAUUAGAGUUGCUGGGCGUUGAUACUUGUCUCAAGGUGCUCUCCCUUAUCAUGCUAGAGCACAAGGUAAUCAUGCAAUCACGCGAUUACAACGCUCUCUCCAUGUCCGUGCUGGCCUUUGUUACCAUGCUCUACCCGCUCGAGUACAUGUUUCCCGUCAUCCCGCUCCUGCCCACUUGCAUGAGCUGCGCCGAGCAGCUCCUGUUAGCUCCUACGCCUUACAUCAUCGGCAUUUCGGGAUCGUUCUUCCAGCACAAGAAACAUUUCAAAUUGCCGGACGAUGUUUGGCUCAUCGAUCUCGACUCGAAUCGCAUCAGCGUGCCGUCAAGGGCCGAUGAAGUACCAUCGUUACCUGAGCCGGAAUGUAGCAUACUACGCAAUCACCUACGUCAGGCGUUGGCCAGCAUGAGUGGAGAGGUGGUCCUUCCUAGGGUAGAUCAUCCCCAACAACAACAGCAACAUCAGCAGCAGCGUGGAAGUCACGAUUUCUCAUCCGAGAUGGGUCAUGGACAUUUCAGUCCAUUCAUUUAUGGCAACGAUGUCGAUUCGGUCGAUAUUGCCACUAGAGUGGCCAUGGUCCGUUUCUUCAACUCGCAGAAUUUGCUGGCCAAUUUCGCCGAACACACUAGGACACUUAGGCUGUAUCCACGACCCGUUGUGGCUUUCCAGAUCAACAGUUUUCUCAGGUCGAGACCCAGAGCUGGACCCUAUCUCCACAAAUUUGCUAGGACUCAGGCCGUUGAAUUCCUGGCGGAGUGGAGUCUGUCGCCGACCAACGUGGCCUUUUUACGUGUCCAGACGGGCGUUUUCGAUCCGGCCAUUAUCGGAGACAAACACAAAUGGUUCAGCGAUCAAUACGAGCCACUGCAAUUCGCCGUUUGGGACGAGGCCAGCUCAAUGGACAGCGCUCUUCGCUCUCUAGGCAAACACGAUCAAAUUCAAACCGAUGAGAGUGGCUCAGAUUCAGAAGGCGGGGGUAGUUCCAGUUCGUCCUACUCUUCACUGAGCGAUCUGGUAUCCGAACAACGAACGCCGGAUGCGUCACCUGGUCCUGGACUUCAAGCGGUUCCGAUGACGUUGUCUAGUGGACUUGAUCUCAAAUCGAUUUACCGACCUCCAUCAACCCUGCAACUCCCUGGUGGAGGAUCCGGGCUAGAAAUGAACGAAUCAGCUUUCUCCCAACCAGAGUCAAUGUCUUCAUCUUCCUCACAAAGUUCCAUCGGAUCAUCUCACGGCAUUCAAACGGAAUUGGCUGCCGAAAGUGACAUCAUCAUCACUAAACCCCGCAACAUUUCAGAGGAUAAAACCGAUGACGUGUUUAACGCCUCUGAUUCGGAGACUGUGGUGCCCAGCAUCAGCCAGGAUUCGCCUACCCAAAGGAACGUAUCGAUUGAUAGUGCUCCGCCAUUGGAAAAUGAAGUUGUCCCUGCAAAAAUAGUAACUAGGCCGUCUAGCAUAAGUGUGAUGACUGAUCGUUCGAUGAGUACGGGAUCCAGCGGCUCCAACAAUUCGGCCCAUCGACAGAGUAGUCAAACUUCGUUAUUUGAACAGUUGGCGACUCAAGCCAAAGAUUUAGUCCGGGAGAGCACUAGACAAAGCAGCCAGGAAAAACUAUUGGCUCAAAUGGACAAAUUCCGGAUCCAAGCCAAAGAGAAGAUCUCAGAUGCUGCUAGACAAACAAGCGAAGAUGGUUUCUUCAAUCCAUCCACCUUGGAGCAGUUUACCGCUGGAGCUAGACGGGCUGCGGAGGAAGCUAGUCGAAGUGUUCAAGAAGCAUCACGAACCCUAAAAGAAGCUUCGGAAGACAUUACGGCCGUUAGUAAAAAUACCAUCGGAGAUUUCACCAAGAGCGCUAAACACGCUGCUGCCAAAGGCGGAUUGCUCAAGGCACUGGGCAGUUCUCGGGAGUCGUCUAGCAGUCUUCCAGUCGGAUUACGUUCAUUGGGUUCGUUAGGUUCGCUGGGAUCACGAAGUUCCGUCACGCUCGCCGAGCCUCCACUGGCCCAGCAGCAGCAGGAGAUCCAGCAGCAACAGUCGCAAUCAGUCAUGAGCCACUCGAGUCACCAGGGAAAACUCGUUCGCAGUGAUAGUGUCAGCAGUCAGCGGGAUGGUUUAUCGGGCGGACGUGAUUUCCUUUCCAGCGUCAGUAGCGAACUGAAUGGAUUAGCAGCUCAAACGACGAGCAUGUUCAGCGGAUUGUUUGGCUCAAAAGGUUCCAAAAUGGGACAGCCAAAUUCUCCACAGCCUUUCCGUCUACACCCGAAUGCAGAAUCUGCUCAACGAGCAAAAGAACGACAACCACCGUUCGGUCCAUUCCCUAGAACUAGUAGACGCGGUUUAGUAGAGAAAUCAUCUUUGAUUCGACAUACUUCUUCAGCCAAGACCAAACGACCUGACAAUUCCCAGCCAUCGCAGAUUAGCGAUCGAUCAGCCAACGCUAUCGAUAGUCAGACACUUCUCAAAGAUGCGGUCAAUCAAGUGAUAGAGGGCGAAGGUGUCGGAUGGCUAAAGUUGAAUCGCAUCCGCAAAUUGAUGGAAGAUGAAAACUAUCGAAACCUUGUGGUCAGUCGACUUAAUAAGACGUUAGAUCAAAAGAUUGGUCCCGAUGAACACAUCGACGAUGUGUGCGUUUCUCGGGCUGUGUGGAAAGGAAUGUUGAAAAUGUUGAUAGCUGUCACUGCAGGGCUGGAACAAACUUACAUCAAUCACGGCUCAGGUGGAAUGGCUUCAUCUUUCCAGCUGCUGGAAAUCGCUCACACCCAUUACUGGACGAAAGAUAUCAGUGAUGGCAAGUUUUCGGAUUUUGCAUCGACUAGCCUCAGCACAGCUCAGCCUUCACUGCGCGGGAGUCCGAUGGGCAGUCGGGAGAAUUUACCUUCACCUCACAGUCCACGUACGAGUGUUUUGGCAACCGAAUCGGACAGAAGUUACAGCAAUUCGCCGGAAUUGGCUGGAACGCCAGUUCCAUCUCGAAUGUCACGAAGCGAUGCUUCUAGUCCUGAACCGGGUAAUCCCGACAUUCUUCGAGAGUUAUUGGAACGCAAACGCAAUCUCAUGAUGUUAUCUCUACAAGGAGAAUCCCAAGCUAGCGUGAUAAGUGGUGACGGUCAAGGAUCGUGCAGUGCUUCAGAAGCUGGCAGCAUUAUUACGAAUCCAGCUUUCUAUCGUCAGAAACUAUCACAUCAAUCCUUUCGGAGCACCAUGUCGGAUGGAGAACCGGAUCAGCAACAGGUUGUCCGGGGCUUCGUUCGGCAGAAUGCAGCCGGAUGGUCAUCAAAGUCUUCGAUAACGACCGGUUUUCGCUAUCACGCUGGUAACAUGGUCACCACGGCUGGAACUCCUAGUCCUGAAUCUGUGAGGAUGUACAUUUUCGAGGGUCUUCUCGGGAAGGACAGAUCCAGUCUGUGGGAUCAAAGUCAAUUUUGGGAGGAUGCUUUCCUUGAUGCAGUCUCGCAAGAAAGAGAUCUAGUGGGCAUGGAUCAAGGACCCGGAGAAAUGAUGGAAAGGUACAAGUCACUGAGUGAAACGGAAAGAAAAAGACUGGAACACGAAGAGGAUAGACUGCUUUCAACAUUGCUGUACAAUUUAGUGGCUUUCAUGGUCAUGGUCGACGUGGACAAAACGGAAUUGAAACGCAAAGUCCGUCGAUUGCUAGGCAAAUCUCACAUAGGAUUGGCUUACAGCCACGAAGUUCACCAGCUUUUAGAUCAAGUCGAACAUUUGAGAGGCAACGAUAUUGAUUUGAAGCCAUUCGCUUCACGUCAAAUGCACAGGCACAGUUUUACCGUUCAAGUGGGGACUGAUGCAUCCGGUGAUUUGCGAUUCCUGGAAGUUCGUGACGACGGCCUGAUCCUGCGUGCUGUUAGCGGUGCCAUCAUGGAGCGCUGGUGGUUUGAACGCAUCGUCAACAUGACCUACAGUCCCAAAACUAAAAUCCUCUGCCUUUGGCGACGAAAUGGCGGCCAAACGCAACUUCACAAAUACUACACCAAAAAGUGCAAGGCCUUGUAUUACUGCAUCAAAGAAGCGAUGGAAAGAGCUGCAGCUCGAGGUGCUGGGGCACUGCCCGGCAUGGAACUCGGAGGUGAAUUUCCCAUCCAGGAUUUGCGGACGGGUGAAGGUGGUCUCCUUCAGGUGUGCAUCGAAGGUGUCGGUCUACUCUUCGCCAACAGUAAAGAUUUUGAGUUUUUCGUCCGGCUGGAUUACAUCCGCAAAUGUUUCACCCAAAAAGGCGGAAUCUUCGUUCUGGAAGAAUACAAUCCAAAAACGAGACAAAUACUUCAGCGCCGAUAUCAGUCAGCUAUGGCCAACGAGAUAGCAUUAGCAAUCCAUCGUGUCUUUUCUGUCCGCGUGUCUAUGGCCAUUCAACAGUCUUGUUGAGUGGAUUAAACUUUCAGUUUGAUAAAGACGGUCUGCAAUCCACUUAUUCUGUUUCUUUGUUGUGAUCCGGUCAAAGGCGGAUCAGAUUUGUUACGCUGUUCUCUGCGUGUUUUCUUACGUGGCCGCCGGAAGCGAACAGCGUAAAAAGGUUGAGCCGACUUGAAAGCUCAUCAUCAAUCGACCAAGCAACACACACCGGACAUCACUUGAUUCGCUUGUUACUUUUAGUUGUUGUACUUAAAUGAUUACUCGUUCGUUUUGUCGUACGAGUCGUCGCAAUAAUAAUUAUCUAGUCAUGGUACGGUUCAUCAAGAAAUUUGAACCAACAGCAGUUGACAAAUUUGCGUUCGAACAUUCACUGUUAGUAUUUGUAAUUAAUGAAUAUAAAGUUGUUUUACCCUAUUGAUCAUAUCAUUUGAGCGAUUGUGACUUGCGUGUAGCUAUCGUGACGUGCUUAUCAUUGUUUUCGGGCAAGCCAACGCUAUAGCUUUCAAACUCCGAUUUAGAAGAAAAUAUUUGAAAGAAUGAAUAAUAAUAAACCAAAAUUCACUCAUUGAA
rnacentral:misc_RNA from 1 species